UACGAAGGGGGCGAGCGUUGUUCGGAAUCACUGGGCGUAAAGGGCGCGUAGGCGGCCCUCCUUGUCGCGUGUGAAAGCCCCGGGCUCAACCUGGGAACGGCGCGCGAGACGGGGGGGCUGGAGUUCGGGAGAGGAGCGUGGAAUUCCCAGUGUAGAGGUGAAAUUCGUAGAUAUUGGGAAGAACACCGGUGGCGAAGGCGGCGCUCUGGACCGAGACUGACGCUGAGGCGCGAAAGCGUGGGGAGCGAACAGG
rnacentral:rRNA from 1 species